UACCAGAUAGAAGGGUAUAGAGAAGACAAUGCCAAAUUCUUCUCAAAGAUCAUCACAUUCUGCAUUUGAAGAACACAUUCUGUAGUUUCUGAAUAGUUUGUGAAGCAACUCUCRCUUCCCAGC